UACAGAGGGGGCAAGCGUUGUUCGGAAUUACUGGGCGUAAAGGGCGCGUAGGCGGCCUGUUACGUCGGACGUGAAAUCCCUCGGCUCAACCGGGGAACUGCGUCCGAUACUGGCGGGCUUGAAUUCGGGAGAGGGAUGUGGAAUUCCAGGUGUAGCGGUGAAAUGCGUAGAUAUCUGGAAGAACACCGGUGGCGCAAGCGGAUUGCUGGGCCAUAACUGACACUGAGGAACGAAAGCUAGGGGAGCGAAUGGG
rnacentral:rRNA from 1 species